UUUGGUAUUUAAAAGGUAGAUUUUCCUUCUAUGGUUACGUGUUUGGUGGUUAAUCAUAGAGGAAAAUCCACGUUUUCAGUAUCAAA
ensembl:miRNA cja-mir-376a-2 cja-mir-376a-2